CGUAGGUGGCAAGCGUUGUCCGGAAUUAUUGGGCGUAAAGCGCGCGCAGGCGGUUCCUUAAGUCUGAUGUGAAAGCCCCCGGCUCAACCGGGGAAGGUCAUUGGAAACUGGGGAACUUGAGUGCAGAAGAGAAGAGCGGAAUUCCACGUGUAGCGGUGAAAUGCGUAGAGAUGUGGAGGAACACCAGUGGCGAAGGCGGCUCUUUGGUCUGUAACUGACGCUGAGGCGCGAAAGCGUGGGGAGCAAACAGGAUUAGAUACCCUGGUAGUCCACGCCGUAAACGAUGAGUGCUAAGUGUUAGAGGGUUUCCGCCCUUUAGUGCUGCAGCUAACGCAUUAAGCACUCCGCCUGGGGAGUACGGCCGCAAGGCUG
rnacentral:rRNA from 1 species